AUGGUCAAGCUACUAAGGGCACACGGUGGAUGCCUUGGCAUAAGAAGGCGAUGAAGGACGUGGUAAGCUGCGAUAAGCCUCGGGGAGCUGCAAACAAGCUUCGAUCCGGGGGUUUCCGAAUGGGGUAACCCCUCCCAGCUAAAUUGGGAGACUGCUCUCUGAAUUCAUAGGAGAGUUAGAGCGAACCCAGGGAAGUGAACCAUCUCAGUACCUGGAGGAAGAGAAAACAACAGUGAUUUCCAAAGUAGCGGCGAGCGAAAUGGAAAUAGCCUAAACCAUUCAAGAGCAAUCGCGAGUGGGGUUGCAGGACCGCAUGAGUAGAGUUACCAAUCAAGGAACUAGGUGAAUGAGUUGGAAAACUCAGCCAAAGAAUGUGAUAGCCAUGUAAGCGAAAGUUUCUUGACUCGAAGCGGUAUCCUAAGUACCGCGGGGCACGAGAAACCCUGUGGGAAUCCGGGAGGACCAUCUCCUAAGGCUAAAUACUUUCUUAUGACCGAUAGUGAACUAGUACCGUGAGGGAAAGGUGAAAAGAACCCCUGCGAGGGGAGUGAAAAAGUACCUGAAACCGUGCGCUUACAAGCAGUGGGAGGGCUAUGGUCGCAAGACUAGGCCUGACCGCGUGCCUUUUGCAUAAUGAGCCGGCUAGUUAUUUUCUGUGGCAAGGUUUAGCGUAAGCGAGCCGUAGCGAAAGCGAGUCUGAAUAGGGCGCAGUGAGUCGCAGGAAAUAGACGCGAAGCGGGAUGAUCUACCCUUGGCCAGGGUGAAACACGGGUAACACCGUGUGAAGGCCCGAACCAGUGUUGGUUGAAAACAGCUUGGAUGAGCUGAGGGUAGGGGUGAAAGGCUAAUCAAAUUCCGUGAUAGCCCGUUCUCCCCGAAAUAGCUUUAGGGCUAGCCUCAUGUGAUUUGUAGCGGUGGUAGAGAACUGAAUGGACUAGGGGCCUUACCAGGUUACUGAAUCCAACCAAACUUCGAAUGCCGCUAACAACAGCAUGGGAGUCAGACAGUGGGGGCUAAGCUUCAUUGUCGAGAGGGAAAGAGCCCAGAUCAUCAGCUAAGGUCCCAAAGUACAGACUAAGUGGAAAAGGAAGUGGAAACGCUCUGACAGCCAGGAGGUUGGCUUAGAAGCAGCCAUCCUUUAAAGAAAGCGUAACAGCUCACUGGUCAAGCAGUUCCGUGCCGACAAUUCAACGGGGCUCAAGUCUGUCACCGAAGCUAUGAACUCUACCCGCUGCGGCGGGUAGUUUGGUAGGGGAGCGUUCUGUAUAGUUUGAAGUCUCACCGUGAGGAGAGAUGGACCUUACAGAAGAGACCCUGCCGGCAUAAGUAGCGAUAAACCAGGUGAGAACCCUGGUCGCCGAAAGUCUAAGGUUUCCUGAAAAAGGUUAAUCCGUUCAGGGUUAGUCGGUCCCUAAGUCGAGGCUGAAAGGCGUAGACGAUGGGAAACAGGUCAAUAUUCCUGUACUGUUGAGCCGACGUUAUCACGAUGGGGUGACGCAGGAGGAUAGGCUGGACGGUUGAUGGACGCACCGUUCCAAACUCGUAGGAGGAUCGAAUUGGCAAAUCCGUUCGGUCGCUAACUCCGAAAAGUGAUGGGGAGCCCGCAAGGGCUAAUCAAACCAGUUGGCUCCCAACUGCCAAGAAAAUCCUCUAAGGAGUCUGCUUAAUAACCGUACCGCAAACCGACACAGGUAGACGAGGAGAGUAUCCUAAGGCGCUUGAGAGAACACUCGUUCAGGAACUCGGCAACAUGGCUCCGUAACUUCGGAAGAAGGAGUGCCCCGGUAGGGUUUAUAGCCCGAGGGGGUUUCAGUGAAAUGGCCCAAGCGACUGUUUAACAAAAACACAGGUCUCUGCAAAGUCGAAAACGACCUAUAGGGGCUGACGCCUGCCCGGUGCCGGAAGGUUAAAAGGAGAGGUUAGCCGCAAGGCAAAGCUUUGAAUUGAAGCCCCGGUGAACGGCGGCCGUAACUAUAACGGUCCUAAGGUAGCGAAAUUCCUUGUCGGGUAAGUUCCGACCUGCACGAAUGG
rnacentral:rRNA from 1 species